ACUAUAACUUUUACUUAGAGAUGCAACCGUAGAUACUCUGUGUAAAAUAGGGUCUGAUUUAUUUGAAGAAAAAAUAAAAACUGCCCCGCUUUUGCAAAGAGUAUCUAUGAUCUGAAAUCACUCGAAAAUUGUUCCAAAAUGAGGCUUUGAAAUGAUCUCUUGAAUCACUAGAAGAAGCAGCCAGUCUCUUUCUCUAACUAUAAACUGAAUCAAAACCAAGGUUUCGGAAGAGUCAGAAGAAAAGAAUGCUACGCGAGUCAAUAUUAAUACUCUGUCCCUGAUCCCCCUCUUGCACAUAGGUCUUGCAGUAACCCCUGAUCAGCAGCUUAAGAAUCUUCCAAUCUCAUGGACGAUGUGGUGCUCUGGGACUGAGCCAAAAGAUGUGAUUGAUGUAAUGUUGAUCCCUGCUUGUGAAUUUCGGUUUGAGGACUCUAUGACCAAAAACACAUUAUCCUGGUUUUCCACAAGAAAGUGGAGUGACCUGGGAAUAGGAGGGCAGUUCACAUCUGAAAGCCCUUCAAGUAUAUGAACUACCUGACUCAUAGAAGGCCUAUGAGCUUCGUCAUCUUGAAUGCACCAACAGGCAACCCUACAGGCCCUAGUUAGCUCUAGAAUAUCAGUAUUACCUUCCAACCUGACAUCUACCAGGCUAAUCAUAUCAUCACCUUCGUUCAUUUUUG